CCAAGCUGCAGCCAGAAAUAGGUGUCUGGUGGCUAUCUCCAGGUCUUGUUGCUCUGCUCCUGAAGGACCAGCCUUGUGUUUGGAUUGGGCUCCUACAGAAUAUUUAUGGAACUGAGGCUCAAGAAUGAAGUCAUUUCUUACAUAUGAUUGCCCUGCAGUGAUCAGCAGUAAGUUGUUGUGGACUUGGAAGUAACGGCAUUAUUGACAAAAAAAGUGGAAUAAAACUUAAAGGGGCAAGAGGACAGUGAUGGAGAGAACUGCAUCAGGAGUCACUCACCAUAGCCAGGAGAUACUCUCCUCUCUGGGUUUUCGUGGCACUAUUCCUUCGACCUGUUUGACUGCUUCUUGGCUGAAUCAUCAUCUAUAUCAAUUUCUAGAGUAUCAACAAAAUAACAAGCUGGAGGAUGAAGGAUGGACAACAACAAUGAACAGGACAUUUAUUUGUAGCGUGGUGUAAAUGCCGACAUUGAAGCUUUAGCAACUGGCUCUCAGGAGCUAUUUUGACCAGGAUCCAGCACAAUCUGGGAACAACCUAGUUGAGUUCCCAGUGGUCCAACAUCAGAGGUAUGGAGAAGUUGAAAUCUGCAUCAGUGGAUUCUAGUCCCUUGAAGUCCUGAAGUGACGAAGUAUGUUGAAAUAUGUUGUGCCAUAUAUUAUGUUUCAUGCAGGUGCAUCUUCUCUCCCCAAGCAGACUGUCAGCUUCUUUGACUUUUGUCACAAGUCUUGACUUUUCUUGUCUCUCUCAAUGCUGAGCUCAUAAAUAGCAGAUACUGGUUAUUUUUAAAAUUUUUGUUGGUAUUUUUUGUUUUUACAUCAUCUUUAUGUUCCUAAAUAUC